AUGCAUUCUGUUCUUUUUGACUUGCUUCGUAUGGGACAUCCUCAUGGUUCUAUUUCUAGUGUUUUAAUUUUUUUGUGGUGUCUCUGGAAGGCUAGAAAUGAUUUUCUCUUUGAUAGAAAAAAGGCUCUUCCCCACCAAGUUCAUAUUGCAGCUCUUGCUUUAGCUUCUGAUUGUUAUGAUAAUCUUCCAUGUUUACCUUCGAAGCAGGAUCAAGCUCAUAAUCAAUUGCCUCCUAAUCAGCUCCCUAUGCAAGGACCAAGAAAGUUCCAGGUUUGUUGCAAGGAGAGGUUGCUACAGGCGUGGGAGUGUACAUCUCUAUGCCCUUCAACCAAAAGAAAAUUAAUGUGA
rnacentral:rRNA from 1 species